GACGAACGCUGGCGGCGUGCUUAACACAUGCAAGUCGAACGGAAAGGCCCUGCUUUUGUGGGGUGCUCGAGUGGCGAACGGGUGAGUAACACGUGGGUAACCUGCCCUUGACUUUGGGAUAACUUCAGGAAACUGGGGCUAAUACCGGAUAGGAGCUCCUGCUGCAUGGUGGGGGUUGGAAAGUUUCGGCGGUUGGGGAUGGACUCGCGGCUUAUCAGCUUGUUGGUGGGGUAGUGGCUUACCAAGGCUUUGACGGGUAGCCGGCCUGAGAGGGUGACCGGCCACAUUGGGACUGAGAUACGGCCCAGACUCCUACGGGAGGCAGCAGUGGGGAAUAUUGCACAAUGGGCGGAAGCCUGAUGCAGCAACGCCGCGUGCGGGAUGACGGCCUUCGGGUUGUAAACCGCUUUCGCCUGUGACGAAGCGUGAGUGACGGUAAUGGGUAAAGAAGCACCGGCUAACUACGUGCCAGCAGCCGCGGUGAUACGUAGGGUGCGAGCGUUGUCCGGAUUUAUUGGGCGUAAAGGGCUCGUAGGUGGUUGAUCGCGUCGGAAGUGUAAUCUUGGGGCUUAACCCUGAGCGUGCUUUCGAUACGGGUUGACUUGAGGAAGGUAGGGGAGAAUGGAAUUCCUGGUGGAGCGGUGGAAUGCGCAGAUAUCAGGAGGAACACCAGUGGCGAAGGCGGUUCUCUGGGCCUUUCCUGACGCUGAGGAGCGAAAGCGUGGGGAGCGAACAGGCUUAGAUACCCUGGUAGUCCACGCUGUAAACGGUGGGUACUAGGUGUGGGGUCCAUUCCACGGGUUCCGUGCCGUAGCUAACGCUUUAAGUACCCCGCCUGGGGAGUACGGCCGCAAGGCUAAAACUCAAAGGAAUUGGCGGGGCCCCGCACAAGCGGCGGAGCAUGCGGAUUAAUUCGAUGCAACGCGUAGAACCUUACCUGGGUUUGACAUGGAUCGGGAGCGCUCAGAGAUGGGUGUGCCUCUUUUGGGGUCGGUUCACAGGUGGUGCAUGGCUGUCGUCAGCUCGUGUCGUGAGAUGUUGGGUUAAGUCCCGCAACGAGCGCAACCCUUGUUCACUGUUGCCAGCACGUUAUGGUGGGGACUCAGUGGAGACCGCCGGGGUCAACUCGGAGGAAGGUGGGGAUGACGUCAAGUCAUCAUGCCCCUUAUGUCCAGGGCUUCACGCAUGCUACAAUGGCUGGUACAGAGAGUGGCGAGCCUGUGAGGGUGAGCGAAUCUCGGAAAGCCGGUCUCAGUUCGGAUUGGGGUCUGCAACUCGACCUCAUGAAGUCGGAGUCGCUAGUAAUCGCAGAUCAGCAACGCUGCGGUGAAUACGUUCCCGGGGCU
rnacentral:rRNA from 1 species